CUCCUCCUAACAACCUCCACCUGGCAACCUUCAUUUAACGCAAAACAAAGAGCCUCACUCCCCUGUAUGCUGAUGUUCCACAGGAAGGGCCCAGAGCUCAGAUGUUCCUCACAGACAAGGAAUUUAUCUCUGGGUUGGGCACGCUCUGAACUCCAAACACAUAUUCAGGUGCAACUGCCAUACAGGAUCAUCCUCAGGGAGGACCCUUCCUGCUUUGUUCCGUGUUGUUAAAAAUGACAAAGGUACAACGUACGAAACAAUACUUCGCGGCCAGAGGGAAGAACUGUAGUCAGGGAAGACUUCCUGGAGCUGGUAAGAAUUGAGCUAGGCCUGCUACUUGAAUUGUUAUGUGUUCCCAUUGCUACAGAAGAUCUAAACAUUUUGGAUCUGAGCAAGCAUUUCCCUGCCGUGUGAUUCACUGUGCUGCCCUGUGGUUGCUAUCAUCGUCAAACAGAAGGCUGACUGACAAAGAGGCCUCUAAAUCAAGGGGAGAAAAUCCUCCAGAGGAUACACUAAUUAUAGGUUAAAUAUCAGAGCACACAGUAUUCUGCCUUGGAAGAAAAUUUCCAUUCUGCAAGACAAGACUAUGACAAACAGGCAUUUUCUCAAAAUGACUAAUGCCUCAAAAGAAGGCAGAAUGAGAAACUUGAUGCUGUGUAUGGUAUUUCUGUGAAACAUCACCCCCCUGUUUGGUGGAAUAUUUAACUGCAUUUCAGUUUUCCUGAAGUCUGAAUAUCACAUUUGAUGCUGUUGCAAAGUCUCACUGGCCACAGAUCAGCCCUGGGGUUCAGAGGGAUCCUGACAGCUACUCCUCAAGAUCCUCUCUGUUGUGAUUCAUCCCCCCGGGGCCCUACAGUUUCUCCUUCCUGACUCUUACAUUUCUUUGGAUGGCAUCAUUAUUUACCUGUCUCCUCCCAUAGUUAGGUGCCAAGCACUGUGGAUUCUGCCUCUCAGUGUCCAGACACCCAUUUUCCUUCCCACUGUUCCUUCCCCAUGGAGAAGCCUGUGGCUGGCUGACAGCAGAGAGAGAUGCUCAACUUGGAGAAGGUGUUACCUGGGCCAGGUGGGGAAGGUUUGUUUGCAGAGCAAAGAAGUGAAGGAAGUAUUAACCCUUUGCAUGGCCUCCUGAGAAUCCGACAAGACGUAAAUAGCCAAGAAUAUCUGUGAAACUUCAUCACUGAGUUACAAUAUUUAUCACUGCAAGUGUGUUGUUCAUUGACACUAUAAAGCCAUGUGGAAUUAAGCAGCCUUGAAACACAAAAUGGAGAAAGGCUAAGAGCUGAGAAUUGUUGCCUUCAGGGAAAUACAAUCAAUGUCAAGCAAACAACCACCCCAAAAUGGUUAGCUUUAUCAGCAUUCAGGCCUACAGUGAACGCAAAUGUUCCAGAUCUGAGUUUCAAUUUUUAAAGAAUAAACAUAUGCAAAUGACCAUUAGUCUUAGUAGUUUUAGGGCUCAGAAUGAUCUUAUCUUGUUAACAUUCAGGGCAACUGCUUAUACCCAUUUGAAUGUCAUUUAGAGGGCUAGGAAAGACUGCUUCAACAUUUGAUGACUAAAUGGCAGGGCUCAGCCACAAUGCUCACUCCGAGAAAUGAGAAAUAGACACACCAGUAUGCUAGAUGCUGAUGCAGUUCAGGAAAUGCUACCCCAAAAUAUGGCCCCUCAGCAUACUGAGUAUUUUAAGCAGAAGGCAAUUAAGAAAACCACAAAAACAGAAAGGUCCCUCUGACCUUCUCCCACCCUCUCUCUCUUGAAGAUCCUCAUGUGACAGGUGACCUGCCAUAUAAUCAGAAGGAAGAAAUGUUACACAGAGAGGCUGAGAAGAAUCUGAGGACUUGCUAAGUUUUCCCCAGUUUAUUACCAUUAGAUCAUAUGCCUUUUUUGUUCAAUCAUACUUCUAUACAACUGUCCAUCAUUCAUUAAACCUAACCACAAAAGUAGUUUUCACUCGGUUUUUGAGUGAAGGCUCCUGUGUCACAUAAAACUUACAUUAAAUAAAUUUGUUCCACUU
rnacentral:lncRNA from 10 species